GAUGAAGAACGCAGCGAAAUGCGAUACGUAAUGUGAAUUGCAGAAUUCAGUGAAUCAUCGAAUCUUUGAACGCACAUUGCGCCCCUUGGUAUUCCAUGGGGCAUGCCUGUUCGAGCGUCAUUUGUACCUUCAAGCCUUGCUUGGUGUUGGGUGUUUGUCUCGCCUCUGCGCGCAGACUCGCCUCAAAACAAUUGGCAGCCGGCGUAUUGAUUUCGGAGCGCAGUACAUCUCGCGCUUUGCACUCAGAACGACGACGUCCAAAAGUACAUUUUUACACUCUUGACCUCGGAUCAGGUAGGGAUACCCGCUGAACUUAAGCAUAUCAAUAAGCGGAGGA
rnacentral:misc_RNA from 1 species